rnacentral:rRNA from 1 species
UACAGAGGGUGCAAGCGUUGUUCGGAAUUAUUGGGCGUAAAGGGUGCGUAGGUGGCGGGGUAAGUCAGGUGUGAAAUCUCGGAGCUCAACUCCGAAACUGCACUUGAUACUGCCUUGCUCGAGUACUGGAGAGGAGAUUGGAAUUUACGGUGUAGCAGUGAAAUGCGUAGAUAUCGUAAGGAAGACCAGUGGCGAAGGCGAAUCUCUGGACAGUUACUGACACUGAGGCACGAAGGCCAGGGGAGCAAACAGG